AUGGAGUGCGAGCCCGAGGAGCUGCAGUUCCUGGGCCCCGUCGGCAUCUACCGGGAGUCGGUGGCCAUCCUGCGCGCGCACCGCCCGCUCUACGCCCGCAUCGCCGCCGCCUUCGUCCUCCCGCUCUCCGCGCUCUUCCUCGCCCACAUCGCCAUCUCCCACGCCCUCUUCUCCACCAUCGACUCCGACGACUCCGCCCUCGAGUCCUCCGCCCCCGGGACCGCCUCCCAGCAGCGGAUCCUCCAGCGGCUCGGCGCCGACUGGGCCGCCCUCGUCCUCUUCAAGGCCGCCUACCUCCUCGCGCUCCUCCUCUUCUCGCUCCUCUCCACCGCCGCCGCCGUCUUCUCCGUCGCCUCCGUCUACUCCGCCAAGCACGACGCGCUCACCUUCCCGCGGGUGCUCUCCGUCGUGCCCCGCGUCUGGCGCCGCCUCGCGGCCACCUUCCUCUCCGCCUUCGCGCUGCUCUUCGCCUACCACUUCGUCUUCGCCGUCGUCUUCAUCGCGCUCCUCGUCGCCGUCGACAAUGGCUCCACCCUCGCCGGGCUCCUCGCCUUCGUCGUCAUCGUCGCCUACCUAGUCGGGCUCGUCUACCUCAGCGUCGUCUGGCACCUCGCCAGCGUCGUCUCGGUGCUCGAGGACUACAAGGGGUUCCAGGCCAUGCGCAAGAGCAAGGCGCUCAUCCAGGGGAAGCUCUGGACCGUCGUGAUCAUCUUCGUCACGCUCAACAUCGUCUUCGUCGUCGUGGAGUUCGCCUUCCGCGCCUGGAUCGUCCAGGGCGCGCGCCACGGUCUCGGCGCGGGAGGGAGGCUGCUCCUUGGCCUCGUCAUCCUGGCUGCGCUGUGCUCGGUCGUCAUGGUGGCGCUGGUGGUGCAGACGGUGGUGUACCUGGUGUGCAAGAGCUACCACCACGAGAGCAUCGACAAGAGCAACAUCUCCGACCACCUCGAGGUCUACCUCGGCGACUACGUCCCGCUCAAGGCCAGCGACGUGCAGAUGCAGCACUUCGGCGACGAGGUCUGA
rnacentral:rRNA from 1 species